AGUGAACGCUGGCGGCGUGCCUAAUACAUGCAAGUCGAACGGAGUGGCGCACGGGUGAGUAAUAUAUAGCUAAUCUGCCCCUUGCUGGAGGACAACAGUUAGAAAUGCCUGCUAAUACUCCAUAGCAAGGGAUGAGACUAUAUCGUAUCAGCUAGUCGGUGGGGUAACGGCGUACCGAGGCUAUGACGCGUAACUGGUCUGAGAGGAUGAUCAGUCACAUUGGAAAUGAGACACGGUCCGAACUCCUACGAGAGGCAACAGUAGGGAGUAUAGCGCAAUGGGGGAAACCCUGACGAAGCAGCGCAGCGUGGAGGAGGACACUUUUCGGAGCAUAAACUCCUUUUGUUAGGGAAGCGGUACCUAACGAAUAAGCACCGGCUAACUCCGUGCCAGCCACCGCGGUAAUUC
rnacentral:rRNA from 1 species